rnacentral:rRNA from 1 species
GUGUCAGCAGCCGCGGUAAUACGAAGGGGGCUAGCGUUGCUCGGAAUCACUGGGCGUAAAGCGCACGUAGGCGGACUCUUAAGUCGGUGGUGAAAUCCUGGAGCUCAACUCCAGAACUGCCUUUGAUACUGAGAAGCUUGAGUCCGGGAGAGGUGAGUGGAACUGCGAGUGUAGAGGUGAAAUUCGUAGAUAUUGGGAAGAACACCGGUGGCGAGGCGGCCAUCUGGCCCACAAUUGACGCUGAGGCGCGAAAGCGUGGGGAGCAAACAGGAUUAGAAACCCGCGUAGUCC